AACGUAGGUACCGAGCGUUAUCCGGAUUUACUGGGCGUAAAGCGCGUUCAGGCGGUUUGGCAAGUCGGGCAUGAAAUCUCUCGGCUCAACCGGGAGAGGUUGUCCGAUACUUCCAGACUUGAGGGCAGUAGAGGGUGGUGGAAUUCCGGGUGUAGUGGUGAAAUGCGUAGAUAUCCGGAGGAACACCAGUGGCGAAAGCGGCCACCUGGACUGCACCUGACGCUGACACGCGAAAGCUAGGGGAGCAAACAGG
rnacentral:rRNA from 1 species